AAANGGGCAGCCUAAUGCAUUGCAACGUCGAGCGAACUGAUUAGAAGCUUGCUUCUAUGACGUUAGCGGCGGACGGGUGAGUAACACGUGGGCAACCUGCCUGUAAGACUGGGAUAACUUCGGGAAACCGAAGCUAAUACCGGAUAGGAUCUUCUCCUUCAUGGGAGAUGAUUGAAAGAUGGUUUCGGCUAUCACUUACAGAUGGGCCCGCGGUGCAUUAGCUAGUUGGUGAGGUAACGGCUCACCAAGGCAACGAUGCAUAGCCGACCUGAGAGGGUGAUCGGCCACACUGGGACUGAGACACGGCCCAGACUCCUACGGGAGGCAGCAGUAGGGAAUCUUCCGCAAUGGACGAAAGUCUGACGGAGCAACGCCGCGUGAGUGAUGAAGGCUUUCGGGUCGUAAAACUCUGUUGUUAGGGAAGAACAAGUACGAGAGUAACUGCUCGUACCUUGACGGUACCUAACCAGAAAGCCACGGCUAACUACGUGCCAGCAGCCGCGGUAAUACGUAGGUGGCAAGCGUUAUCCGGAAUUAUUGGGCGUAAAGCGCGCGCAGGCGGUUUCUUAAGUCUGAUGUGAAAGCCCACGGCUCAACCGUGGAGGGUCAUUGGAAACUGGGGAACUUGAGUGCAGAAGAGAAAAGCGGAAUUCCACGUGUAGCGGUGAAAUGCGUAGAGAUGUGGAGGAACACCAGUGGCGAAGGCGGCUUUUUGGUCUGUAACUGACGCUGAGGCGCGAAAGCGUGGGGAGCAAACAGGAUUAAAUACCCUGGUAGUCCACGCCGUAAACAAUGAGUGCUAAGUGUGAGAGGGUUUCCGCCCUUUAGUGCUGCAGCUAACGCAUUAAGCACUCCGCCUGGGGAGUACGGUCGCAGGACUGAUNCUCAAAAGAAUUAAACGGCGGGCCGCCCCAACCAGUGGAGCAAGUGGUUGAUUUCAAAGCAACGCCAAGAAACAUAACCAGGUCGUGACUGCCACUGACAACUCCAAA
rnacentral:rRNA from 1 species